AUUGAACGCUGGCGGCAGGCCUAACACAUGCAAGUCGAGCGAGCGGCGGACGGGUGAGUAAUGUCUGGGAAACUGUCUGUUGGAGGGGGAUAACUACUGGAAACGGUAGCUAAUACAGCAUACCAUCAGAUGUGCCCAGAUGGGAUUAGCUAGUAGGUGGGGUAACGGCUCCCCUAGGCGACGAUCCCUAGCUGGUCUGAGAGGAUGACCAGCCACACUGGAACUGAGACACGGUCCAGAUUCCUACGGGAGGCAGCAUUGGGGAAUAUUGCACAAUGGGCGCAAGCCGGAUGCAGCCAUGCGGCGUGUGGGAAGAAGGCCUUCGGGUUGUAAAGCACUUUCAGCGGGGAGGCGUUACCCGCAGAAGAAGCACCGGCUAACUCCGUGCCAGCAGCCGCGGUAAUUC
rnacentral:rRNA from 1 species